rnacentral:misc_RNA from 1 species
UCCUCCGCUUAUUGAUAUGCUUAAGUUCAGCGGGUAGUCCUACUUGAUUUGAGGCCAGAUGUCAAAGUUACACAAUGAGUAACAUCCAAAGAUGCACUUAAAGUGAUGGUUUAGUUAGCAGACAGUAGUCUAGGUCCUGGCCAUCCGAAGAUGUCCUCAGCAAAAUACUUAUUAUGCCAAGUCAAACCAGUCAUAUAGACAGAUCCAAGCUAAUACUUUUAAGAUGAGUCGGUUCAUCACCGGCAAACAUCCAAAUCCAAACUCAAGCAUGGAUCGAAAUCCAAAACUUGGGUUUGAGGGUUUCAUGACACUCAAACAGGCAUGCUCCUCGGAAUACCAAGGAGCGCAAGGUGCGUUCAAAGAUUCGAUGAUUCACUGAAUUCUGCAAUUCACAUUACUUAUCGCAUUUCGCUGCGUUCUUCAUCGAUGCGAGAGCCAAGAGAUCCGUUGUUGAAAGUUUUAUUAUGUUAUAAUAAGACUACAUUUGUUACAAUAAUGUUUAGUUUAAAAGUGGAUGCAAGCAUCCAACAGUGCACAGGUGUUAUGGAUAUGAAAGAAGAACCACUGGCUUUCGCCUAUGGUUCAAUCUAAAUUCAUUAAUGAUCCUUCCGCAGGUUCACCUACGGA